GAUGAACGCUGGCGGCGUGCCUAAUACAUGCAAGUCGAGCGAACGGACGAGAAGCUUGCUUCUCUGAUGUUAGCGGCGGACGGGUGAGUAACACGUGGAUAACCUACCUAUAAGACUGGGAUAACUUCGGGAAACCGGAGCUAAUACCGGAUAAUAUAUUGAACCGCAUGGUUCAAAAGUGAAAGACGGUCUUGCUGUCACUUAUAGAUGGAUCCGCGCUGCAUUAGCUAGUUGGUAAGGUAACGGCUUACCAAGGCAACGAUGCAUAGCCGACCUGAGAGGGUGAUCGGCCACACUGGAACUGAGACACGGUCCAGACUCCUACGGGAGGCAGCAGUAGGGAAUCUUCCGCAAUGGGCGAAAGCCUGACGGAGCAACGCCGCGUGAGUGAUGAAGGUCUUCGGAUCGUAAAACUCUGUUAUUAGGGAAGAACAAAUGUGUAAGUAACUAUGCACGUCUUGACGGUACCUAAUCAGAAAGCCACGGCUAACUACGUG
rnacentral:rRNA from 1 species